rnacentral:lncRNA from 1 species
AUGGAGAAGAGAAGAGGCGUGGCAAGGAGCUCUGGCGGGGAAGGCGCGUGGGAGCCGGGAGCCCGAGCUGGAAUUCGUUCCCUGCUCAGCCCUGACCCGCCUGUGUCCCAACUCGCGCUCGGAGGCACGGGGGAGGGGGCGCGCAGAAGACACCAAAGCUCUCCCGCUCGCACACUCCGGACGCUAAGGCACUGCGAGAGGGGCAGCGUGCGCCGCUCCGACCGAGCCCGCCUUGGCCAGCUCCCUCCGCGACCCCAGAGCCGCCCGCGCGCCCACUCCCUUCGCGACUCUGCCGGAAGUCCCGCCUGCGCCCUCCGCGGCCGCCCCACAUUGGGCCAGGUGCCGGGGUCUCGCCGCGGGUUGGCGGCCCGGCGGCCCGAGCCCUGGGGGGGGGGGGGGGGGGGCACUGCGAGCCGUAGCUGGGGGCCCGCUGGAGACCAGCUGAGACGCGGGGUCCACACGGCAGGCGGGGCUGGGGGCUUGAGGCGGGGAGCCCCGGGGCGGACGGGGGGACUUCCGCCACGGAACCCGGAAGGGGCCGCGCCGCCGCUGGUGGGAGUUGUAGUCCCGCCGUGGUGGGGGGGGGCCGCGGCUCAUGCGCGGUGCACCGAGGCUUGUUUCACAUCUGUAACAACAGGAGGAGGCCCAGCCUCGUGAUGAGGAAUAGCAAGGAGAGAAUUCAGCUGCAGUUCAGAAGUCUUCAAGAUCUGAGACUGUCACUGCUCUCGUAAGGUAAGUUGAUGUAGCCGUGCACACAAAGCAGUGGUGGAUCUCAUGCUCAGCCACACUGUAAAGGAAAAGGCAUGUAGUAAAUCCAUUUGUGACUAUGUUGGAAGAAGGGUGUCAUUUUUAAUUAGCUGUUAUAGAAUCUCUCUGUCCUUGAAUCAUCCCAUAGUGACUCUUCCUGGAAUUAAGUGGUCUUUCAUUAUGCAAGAAAUCUUGAUACAAUAUUAUUUUACUUACCUCUAAGUUAUUUAAGAGACUCUAAACCAUAAACGUUUCCAACAUUAUACUGUUUUACAAUGAAGACAGCUUUCUUUUAGAUCUCUAGGAAAUGUUCUAGAGCUCUAAAAUAUCUCUGAAACAUCUUCUCUUGAACCUCAUACUAUAUUUUUUAGGCUGAUACAGGAAAAUAUAGUGUUAUAUGAGCCUUGGUUGAUAUGAAGAGGAUCGGGACUUUUUUUUAAAGAUUUUGUUUUUCCUUUUUCUCCCCAAAGCCCCCCGGUACAUAGUUGUGUAUCUUUAGUUGUGGGUCCUUCUAGUUGUGGCAUGUGGGAUGCCGCCUCAGCAUGGCUUGUUGAGCGGUGCCAUGUCUGCGCCCAGGAUUCGAACCAGUGAAACCCUGGGCCGCUGAAGCAGAGCACGCAAACUUAACCACUCGGCCACGGGGCCAGCCCCUCAUCAGGACUUUUUAUAAGCUAAACCAAGACUCUGUUUACAAGCAAAUUAACUUACAAUUUCUUAGCAAGAAAGUAUUGUUUCUUACAUAAUAAUCACUUAGAUGUUUUAGAUUUUGUAAUAUUCAGGUUUUCUUUAAAAUUAGAAUCUCAAAUUACACCCUUUUUCCUUUAAUUGGGAUAGAAGGAGUCUAUAGAAUGUAACUUCUUAAAGUAAAUUGUAUCAUUGUUGAUAUUGUAUUGAAGUUUUCUCUCUGAGC